rnacentral:misc_RNA from 1 species
UCUCCGUAGGUGAACCUGCGGAGGGAUCAUUACCGAGUGAGGGCUCACGCCCGACCUCCAACCCUUUGUGAACCCAUCUUGUUGCUUCGGGGGCGACCCUGCCGGCACUCUGUCGCCGGGCGCCCCCGAAGGUCUCCAAACACUGCAUCUUCGCAUCGGAGUUUAAAACAAAUUAAACAAAACUUUCAACAACGGAUCUCGGGGUUCUGGCAUCGAUGAAGAACGCAGC